UGGGGAAUAUUGCGCAAUGGGCGAAAGCCUGACGCAGCGACGCCGCGUGCGGGAUGACGGCCUUCGGGUUGUAAACCGCUUUUACUGGGGAGCAAGCUUUUUUGGUGAGUGUACUUGGUGAAUAAGCACCGGCUAACUACGUGCCAGCAGCCGCGGUAAUACGUAGGGUGCAAGCGUUAUCCGGAUUUAUUGGGCGUAAAGGGCUCGUAGGCGGUUCGUCGCGUCUGGUGUGAAAGUCCAUCGCUUAACGGUGGAUCUGCGUCGGGUACGGGCGGGCUAGAGUGCGGUAGGGGAGACUGGAAUUCCCGGUGUAACGGUGGAAUGUGUAGAUAUCGGGAAGAACACCAAUGGCGAAGGCAGGUCUCUGGGCCGUUACUGACGCUGAGGAGCGAAAGCGUGGGGAGCGAACAGG
rnacentral:rRNA from 1 species